UACGAAGGGGGCUAGCGUUGCUCGGAAUCACUGGGCGUAAAGCGUGCGCAGGCGGCUUCUCAAGUCAGGGGUGAAAGCCCAGAGCUCAACUCUGGAAUUGCCUUUGAGACUGAGUGGCUUGAGUACGAGAGAGGUGAGUGGAAUUCCCAGUGUAGAGGUGAAAUUCGUAGAUAUUGGGAAGAACACCGGUGGCGAAGGCGGCUCACUGGCUCGUAACUGACGCUCAUGCACGACAGCCGUGGGGAUCAAACAGG
rnacentral:rRNA from 1 species